rfam:Felis catus isolate Cinnamon breed Abyssinian chromosome A1, whole genome shotgun sequence.
GCCUGGGUAGCUUAGUCAGUUAGGCAUCUGACUUCAGCUCAGGUCAUGAUCUCCUGGUUUGUGAGUUCCAGCCCCACGUCGGGCU